rnacentral:lncRNA from 1 species
GUCCUUUAAGUUUUGUAAUUGUGUAAUUUUGAGUCCUCUCUUAAAUAUGUGAGUGAUUGUGUUGAUGCCGCACUGGAUGGAUGAUGGGACAGUUGAGGUAUUAUUUAACUUAUGUUAAUGUAAUUAUUUUUUAUUUUUUUGGAAAUAUAUAUUUUUCCUUUUAUUUUCUCUUUAAUUCAAAUUUCAAUGUUUUGUAUCUUACCUAUUGUUGUUGUCCCAAAUAUAUACAAGCAAAAGUUUAAUGUGUAAUUGAUAGCAUGGUUUGACUCACCUAUUUUCAUAUGGAUAAGAAGGGUAUUUGGCACGAAGCAUUUCGAUGAUUUGCGACCAGUGAGCUACUGUGCUUGAACAAAUAAGCCUGCCAGAUGUCUUGGGAUCCUCCAUAGCCAACAAGUGAGUAGCUAUCACAUCGUUUAUGUGUACAAACCCCACUGCUGUAUUUGGAUAUUCUCCUUUCAUGCCUGUUAAAAGAUAUGUCACCCUAAAUUUGAAAAGUGAAUCAUGCAGAAGUUUUAAGAGAAUUGAAACUAUGCAGAAUCUUAGCAUGCACUAUAGUAGAAAAUUUAAAAUAUUGAACAAGAGAUUAGCUACUCGGUGCUUAAUUAUUAUAUAUGAUAUUGCAUCCCUUUCUUAUUCAGUCGAACGUGAAGUAAAAAUGCAUAGGAACGAUUUUCAGAUAUAUGGCCCAGUAAUUUUUUUUUAUGGUAAUUCUUCAAUCUAGCCAUGACUUGAUCCGAAUAAUAGUUUUUCUUCCAAAAUAUUACCAUAAGAUUUGUUUCUUUACCUAUAGAUUCAAAAGGUCCCUCGUCUCCAUUUUUAUUGUAAAAAUGAUAACCAGAUGAUCACUCAAACAAGAAUUAAAUGAUGAAUUGUUAUUAACAACUAAGUUAAUCCUUUUUGUCACAUUAACAUUUUAAUUUAUGUAUUACAGAGUGGUUCAAUAAAUUUUUCACUUUCUCUUAACCCUUGUGUAAUAUAAUAAUUCUACUCCUACAGAAUAAUUUAUAACUCAUACAAAUGUACAGAGAAACAGGGGGAUAAAAAAGAAAAGUCAGAUAAAAUAACUCAUAUGAUGUAAGAAAAUAUAAAAAUCAAUAUAAAAAUUAUUGUAAGUAUAACAUUAUUGUUUAUAAAGUAGCAUCUCAAGGCAUAUCACAUAAACCUAACCUUUGACAAUGCUUAGUAUCAAGAGCAGUGUGCUGGUUGGCUGUGGUGCAAGCAUGGGACCAACGACGAAAGAGGGAUUAACCACCACUAGAUCCAUGCCAUUUUCUUUCGCAAUCCUCCAAGCCUCUCUCUCUGCUAUUGUCUUUGCAUAUGCAUACCAC